UUGGAUCCUGCUUAAACAACCCAUUUCCUCUCCCCAGCUGCACCUCGCUCCCUGUCUCUCCGUCUGAGGGGUUAUUUCAUAGUCCUCUGUUUCAAGUUCAACCCAACCAGUGAGAAUGUUACUGCUGCAGGUUCUUAUUGUGACUUCAACAUGGUCUUAUGGAUAUACGCAAAUAACUCUGAUCCAAACUCCAUUGUCUGUCACCAGAGCGGUAACUAAAACUGCACGUAUGGCGUGUAAAAUUCCUGACAAAAGUUUUGAUUUUAACAGUGCUUAUAUACACUGGUAUCGACAGAGCCCUGGGGAAGCUCCAAAGAGGAUUCUGUAUAUUGGAUCAGGAUCAAUUUCUAAGGAUGAAGGCUUCAAUAGCGAAAAGUUUACUGCUAGUAAUGAUGUUUCUGCAUCCACCGCUAAUCUCAGAGUAGACCAACUAACCCAAGAGGAUGCUGCUACCUAUUAUUGUGCCACCUGGGAUCGCACAGUACUAGUCUUUGGCACAGGAACUAAGCUAGUUGUUUCUGAUCCUGCUAAAUCAUCCUUGCUGGGUGCCUAA